UUUGCAUUCUUUGACCCGGCAUUCAGCUAGACAUCCGGGCUAUGUGUGGUAUUUUGGGGAAGAUGGCGACACUUAUCCUGCCUGCUGAUUGGAUCAAAAACUGGGAAAAAUCUGGAAAACAUGAGUUUGUACAACUAUGUAAGAAUCUUGCAGACAAGCCCAAUCAUGACAGCAUAAUAAAAGAUAUACAGGCUGCUUUGUAUGAACUCUGCUGGCAUGUCGUACAAGGGAACUUCAAGCUGGAACUCGCUGCUAGCGUCCUCAGUGACAUGAUGGAACUGCGCGAUGACAUGCCAUCCAUUUUAGCAGAUGUUUUCAGUAUACUGGACAUAGAGACCAGUUCUUUGGAGGAAAAAAACAAACGCGACCAUUACACCCAGCUAGUGGGAGCAUGUCUGUUAUUUGUGCCAGAUGCCAUCCUGAAGGAGAGACUGGACCCAGAGACCCUGGAGUCCCUAGGACUCAUAAAGCAAGCCCAUCAGUUCAACCAGAAAAUCGUGAAAAUCAAGACCAAGCUAUUUUACAAGCAGCAGAAGUUCAACUUGCUAAGGGAAGAGAAUGAAGGCUAUGCCAAGCUGAUCACUGAGCUGGGCCAAGACCUCUCAGGCAACAUCACUAGCCACGUCGUCCUAGAGAGCAUCAAGUCCCUGAUAGGAUGCUUCAACCUGGACCCCAACCGCGUUCUGGACAUCAUCCUGGAGGUGUACGAGUGUCGCUCUGACCAGGAUGAGUUCUUCCUGCCCCUCAUCAAGUCCUACAUGUGUGAACCCCUCACCCUCUGCCACAUCCUGGGCUUCAAGUUCAAGUUCAACCAGGAGCCUAAUGAAGAGACCCCUACUUCACUCUACCACAUUGCUGCCGCCCUCCUCCACCACAAACUCAUAGAGCUGGAGGACCUCUAUGUGCAUCUGAUGCCACUGGAUGCCAGCAUUGUAGAGGAGCACAAGAGAGAGAUCACGGAGGCCAAGCAGAUCGCCCGCAAGCUCACCAUGGUGGUGGUGCCCUCCGAGAAGAUGGAGGACAAGGAGAGAGAGAAGGAGAAAGAGGAGGAGAAGAACGACAAGCCUCCUGAUAACCAGAAGCUGGGCCUGCUGGAAGCGCUGCUGAGGAUCGGAGACUGGCACCAUGCCCAGAGCAUUAUGGACCAGAUGCCUGCCUUCUAUGCCACCUCUCACAAGGCCAUCGCCCUGGCACUGUGCCAGCUGCUGCACCUGACUGUGGAGCCGCUGUACCGCAGAGCCGGGGUUCCCAAAGGGGCCAAGGGCUGUGUGAUGAGGCCCCUGAGGAACAAGCGGGCCCCAAGGCCUGCCGAGAGCUUUGAGGACUUACGCAGAGACGUGUUCAGCAUGCUCUGCUACCUGGGGCCUCACCUCUCCCACGACCCCAUCCUCUUUGCCAAGAUAGUACGACUGGGCAAGGGCUUCAUGAAAGAGUACCAAAAUGAGGCUAGAAAUGACCACAUCAAGGACAAAAUGGACACGUUGCUGAGUUGUUUCCUGAGCAUUGCAGACCAGGUGCUGUUGCCCUCGCUCUCUCUAAUGGAGUGUAACGCCUGCAUGUCAGAAGAACUCUGGGGCCUCUUCAAACUGUUCCCUUACCAGCACAGGUACCGGCUAUACGGGCAGUGGAAGAACGAGACGUACACCAGCCACCCACUGCUGGUCAAGGUCAAAGCUCAGACUGUGGACAGAGCUAAAUACAUCAUGAAGCGAUUGACCAAAGAGAAUGUGAAACCAUCUGGGCGGCAGAUAGGCAAGCUGAGCCAUAGCAACCCCACCAUCCUCUUUGACUAUAUCCUGUCUCAGAUCCAGUGGUAUGACAACCUCAUCGGUCCAGUGGUAGACUCCCUCAAGUACCUCACCUCACUCAACUAUGAUGUCAUGGCCUAUUGCAUUAUUGAAGCGCUGGCCAAUCCAGAGAAAGAGAAGAUGAAACAUGAUGACACUACGAUAUCCUCCUGGCUUCAGAGCCUGGCUAGUCUGUGUGGAGCUGUUUUCAGGAAAUACCCAAUCGAGUUGGCCGGCCUCCUCCAGUAUGUGACCAAUACGCUGAAAGCAGGGAAGAGUUUUGACCUGCUGAUUCUAAAAGAGGUGGUGCAGAAGAUGGCCGGCAUCGAGAUCACGGAUGAGAUGACAUCAGAGCAGAUGGAGGCUAUGACUGGAGGGGAGCAGCUCAAAGCUGAGGGUGGUUACUUUGGUCAGAUCCGUAACACUAAGAAGUCGUCCCAGCGUCUAAAGGAUGCCCUGUUGGACCAUGAGCUGGCUCUGCCCCUCUGUCUCCUCAUGGCCCAGCAACGCAACGGGGUGGUCUUUCUAGAGGGGGGCGAGAAACACCUCAAACUGGUGGGAAAGCUCUACGACCAGUGUCACGACACCCUGGUCCAGUUUGGUGGCUUCCUGGCGUCCAACCUGAGUACUGAGGACUACAUCAAGCGUGUUCCCUCCAUUGACAUCCUGUGCAACCAGUUCCACACCCCCCACGACGCUGCCUUCUUCCUCUCACGCCCAAUGUACGGACAUCAGAUCCUGUCUAAGUAUGAUGAGCUGAAGAAAGCUGAGAAGAGCAACCGGCAGCAGCAGAAGGUCCAUAAGUACGUGGCUGCGUGCGAGCUGGUGAUGUCGCCGGUGCAUGAGGCUGUGGUGUCCCUGCACCCGCCCCGCGUCUGGGACGACCUUCGACCCCAGUUCUACGCCACCUUCUGGUCGCUGACCAUGUACGACCUGGCCGUGCCACACAACGCCUACGACCGCGAGGUGAAGAAGCUCCAGGUCCAGGUCAAGACCAUCGAGGAGAACCCUGAUGUGCCCAUGAACAAGAAGAAGAAGGAGAAGGAACGCUGCACGGCCCUACAGGACAAGCUGCAGGAGGAGGAGAAGAAGCAGCUGGAGCACGUCCAGAGGGUCCUGCACCGCCUCAAACUGGAGAAAGACAACUGGCUCCUCGCCAAAUCCACCAAGAAUGAGACCAUCACUAAGUUCCUGCAGCUGUGUCUGUUCCCUCGCUGUAUCUUCUCUGCCAUCGACGCUGUGUACUGCGCCCGCUUUGUGGAGCUGGUGCACCAGCAGAAGGCUCCCAACUUCUGCACCCUGCUCUGCUAUGACCGGGUGUUCUCUGACAUCAUCUACACGGUGGCCAGCUGCACAGAGAACGAGUCGCGGCGCUACGGACGUUUCCUGUGCUGCAUGCUGGAGACUGUGACCCGCUGGCACAGCGACCGUGCUGUCUACGAGAAGGAGUGUGGUAACUACCCAGGCUUCCUGACCAUCUUCAGAGCCACAGGCUUCGACGGAGGGAACAAAGCCGACCAGCUGGACUAUGAGAACUUCAGACACGUGGUGCACAAAUGGCACUACAAGCUGACUAAAGCAUCAGUCCACUGCUUGGAGACGGGGGAGUACACACACAUCCGGAACAUCCUCAUCGUCCUGACCAAGAUCCUGCCUUGUUACCCCAAAGUGCUGAACCUGGGCCAGGCGCUGGAGUGCCGCGUCCACAAGAUCUGUCUGGAGGAGAAGGAGAAGAGGCCAGACCUCUAUGCCUUGGCUAUGGGCUAUUCUGGCCAGUUGAAAGGCAGGAAAGUGCACAUGGUCCCUGAGAAUGAGUUCCACCACAAGGAGCAGCCGGUGCGUAGCGCCACCACUGCCAGCCAGCUGAACGGCCCUGGCACCACAGCCAAGCCUGCCACCAACGCCAGCAAGACGGAGGAGGGAGCCUGCGAGGACGCUGACCGAUCCAAGGAUAAAUCUCAGGGGGCGGCGAAGCCAGUGAACAAAGCCAACAGCACAGUGGCCAAAGUGACCACCAGCAAUGGGAAUGGUGCUCCUAACAGCACCAAAGCCAUCAAAGAGAGGGAUGACAAAGAAAAGAGCGGGAAGGAGAAAAAAGAGAAGAAGGAGAAGACUCCAGGCAGCACUCCAGAGACGAAGGGGGAGAGCCGGCGGGAGAAGCAGAGGGACGAGAGAGGAGCAGCCGGCAAGGAGGAGCGGGCGCCACGCGAGGGUAAGGAGAAGACGCCCAAGGCAGACCGGGACAAGCAGAAGGCGGAGGAGAAGAGCAACAAAGAGGACAACAAGGCCAAAGCCGGCAACGGAGAGCCCAAGGAGCUGUCCAGGGAGCGCGACACUGGAGCCAAGGAGUCCAAGACUAAGGAGAAGGGAGGAGACCAGAGUAAGGAGAAGGGAGGAGACAGGAGUGCUGUGUCCGGGUCCCUCAAGUCUCCAGUUCCCCGAUCUGAAUCUGCUGAAUCUGAGAGGGAUCACAAAAGGCGAAAAGUCGAUACCCACUCUUCACCAUCCCACUCUUCCUCUGUUAAGGUUAGUAUGGCCUGAGGAAAGCUGAGCCCGUGUUUCUUCCCUUUCCGCCGGAGCGUUCCCAACUGUUGCGUGUUCCAUCGGCCCUCAAGAUCACCGAGGAGAGUUCUCAUACACACAGGAAAGCCCCGUCUGGCAUCCCCUUCGUAAACCAUGGGAGUUUGGAAAGAAUUCCAUUUGGACUUUUCCUUAAUAUAUUUCCUGAUUGGGGAUAAUCAUCAAGGACUUAGCCAAGAGAAUAAUGUAUAUAUCGAUUAUUUGAAAUAUAAAUUUAUUUUAAUGUGAAGGAAAGCACUAAAAGUGCCUUGGAGAAGAGAGGAAUUUUUGAGUUUCUAUAUCCCCCACCCUUUUUCUCUUUUUGAGAGCAAUAUUUUUCCUCAAGUAAAAUUGCUUCCGAAGUCAUGAGAUUUUUAGUUUUUUGCUGGCAAAGCUGAAAAGAAGAUUUAUUUAGAUUUUUCCCCGUGUAAGAUCCCUGGUAUUUUUCCCGUCUAAGAUCCCUGGUAUUUUUCCCGUCUAAGAUCCCUGGUAUUUUUCCCGUCUUAAGAUCCCUGGUAUUUUUCCCAUCUAAGAUCCCCUGGUAUUUUCCCCGUUCAAAAUGGCACCCAAGAUUAAGAGUUUUUUUCCCCCAUUUUCUGCAAGCUGAGAAGAUUUCUUGGUUGAAGUGGCGUGACGUGUUUUUCUUUUCCUUUGAAUCUGCGGGAAUCCAGCGGGGGGCGGUGGGCUGAGUCCGGAGUCGCACAGUGUCUUCAGAAGAAGUCUCGGUAUCUGCUGUUAGCUCUGAUCUGUUAAAACAGCCCGCAUGCAGCCUCAGUCUGUACCUACGCUUCCACUCAAGAUGUGUAUGCAGUCAGUCGCUCCUGUGGCCCCCCCUACAACCACCAACCCCCACCUCAACACCCCUCAGCACCUUGUCGCACGCGCAGUGGGAACCCUAGGCACCACCAGCACCCAGGCCCACAGAGAGCAAGAGAGGAGAGCCAGAGCCUCAGUUUUGCACCAGCCAAAAGUACGGAGGAAAAUAAAGCCUGCCUACCGCCACAGAAAGUGCGAGAAAGUGCGAGAGGGAGAGAGAAAGUGUGGGCGAAGCCUUCUGGAUCUGCUGGAGCGUUGCCUAAACCGCUUGAAGCUUGUGAUAGGUCUUAAUGUUUACUACCAACCAGAGAGAUAGGCUCCCUGUGUCUUAUCCAUUCUCAACUGACAAUAGCAACGAACCCAAGGACUCUGCAUCCAAGCACCACAUCACCUACAAUUCGGUCUCGCGGUCCAAGAGCAGAGAGAGGGAGACGGACCAGAAAGAGUCAGAGAAUACCCGGGGCCGUUCCAAAGAGAAGAAGACCGAAGACAAAGACCGAAAGGACAGGAAGAGAGACCAUGUGACCACUGACCGUGAGAUGAGCCUAGAAUCCAAACGCAGAAAAGAUGAAAAUGGAACCAAUUCCUCCAACAAACACAGCAAGAGCGCCAGUCCCUCCUCAGACUCCCCGGUCUCGGCUGACAAAGAGAAGACCAAGAGGUCCAAGUCCUCCAGCAAGGAAAAGGGAGAGUCUACUAAACCUGAGAGAAACUCUUCCGGGGGCAAGAAGGAGUCUAGGCAUGACAAAGACAAACCUGACAAGAAGGAGAAGAGGGACAGCAGCGGCGGAAAGGAAGAGAAAAAACAUCAUAAGUCCUCCGACAAGCACAGAUAAUGUGUUCUAGGUCAGUCAGCGAAGCAGACCUGGAGAAGCCGUGCUUUUAACCCAGACAGUCACCCUCCCUCAUCCUGUACCACGUUGUUAACUAGUGCUCUAUUUUCUCUGCCUUGUUCAUUCUGAGAGGAGGCUGCAUCUCAAAUGUUACUCUCAUUUCUGCCUGUGUUGUUUCCGUUGUAACUGCCCGCAAGACAUGUUAGUUGUAGUGUUUGGAACUUGGAGAUCUAUUCUUCUAUUUUUCAUUUCAGUGUGUUUCAGUAACCAGGUAUUUGUUUUAUUUGUAACUUUUGAAUAUUGGCACAAUGUGCUAUUCAAAUCACAAAAUGAUAUUCUACCCAGAAAGACAACUGGUAACUGUAUUAAACGCUCUCUUGAAAUCAACAGGUCAUACAUUCCAUAAUCACAAACGCUUGAUGAAAAAAUGCACCUGUUUUAUGUUGUCAGGUUCCUCCCCUACAGCUUGUUUUAUUGGCAUUAAUAGACACUCUCCAUAUUUGCUUUUGCCUCAUUUAGGGUUACAUGUCUAUUUAUUUCUCCUUUUUAGCCAAGCAAGUCUUUAGGCAAAGAUUGAGUGAAAUGAUACAAAUGACCAGUUUGUAUAUUAUGUGUACAAUAAUAAAGAAGGUAACAUGUAAGUCAUGUCAUAUCUGUUCUGUUUAUUUUUGAUGUCCCCCUUGCUAUGUCCAUUAUGCGAUUGUGUGUUAUCAGGUUUUUAAAUCAUUUGUAAAAUGACAGUUACUCCUUGAAGCAAAUAUAAUUGUAAAAAUGUCAAAGCUUUGUACUCCAAAUACAAAUGUUUCAGAAACAACUUUUUGGAGUUUUUAUCUGCUGUACUCGACAAGUGUAUGCUUUUUUUUAACUAAUAAAUGAUAGUUUUCCUAGUGA